rnacentral:rRNA from 1 species
GACGAACGCUGGCGGCGUGCCUAAUACAUGCAAGUAGGACGCAGUUGCGAACGGGUGAGUAACGCGUAGGUAACUGCCUCUUAGAGGGGGAUAACUAUUGGAAACGAUAGCUAAUACCGCAUACUAGUAGAUGGACCUGCGUUGUAUUAGCUAGUAGGUAGGGUAAUGGCCUACCUAGGCGACGAUACCUAGCCGAGCGUGGAGGGUUAACCAGCAAACCGGGAAUGAGACAAGGGUCAGACCCCUAAGGGAGGCAGCAGUAGGGAAUCGUCGGAAAGGGGGGGAACCCUGACCGAGCAACGCCGCGUGAGUGAAGAAGGUUUUUGGAUCGUAAAGCUCUGUUGUGAAGGAAGCGGUACUUAACCAGAAAGGGACGGCUAACUACGUGCCAGCAGCCGCGGUAAUAC